rnacentral:rRNA from 1 species
AGAGUUUGAUCCUGGCUCAGGAUGAACGCUAGCUACAGGCUUAACACAUGCAAGUCGAGGGGAAACGACAUCGAAAGCUUGCUUUUGAUGGGCGUCGACCGGCGCACGGGUGAGUAACGCGUAUCCAACCUGCCCACCACUUGGGGAUAACCUUGCGAAAGUAAGACUAAUACCCAAUGACGUCUCUAGAAGACAUCUGAAGGAGAUUAAAGAUUUAUCGGUGAUGGAUGGGGAUGCGUCUGAUUAGCUUGUUGGCGGGGUAACGCCACAAGGCGACGAUCAGUAGGGGUUCUGGAGAGGAAGGUCCCCCANAUUGGAACUGAGACACGGUCCAAAACUCCGUACGGGAGGCA